rnacentral:rRNA from 1 species
UUUAUGGAGAGUUUGAUCCUGGCUCAGGAUGAACGCUGGCGGCGUGCCUAAUACAUGCAAGUCGAGCGAACAGAUAAGGAGCUUGCUCCUUUGACGUUAGCGGCGGACGGGUGAGUAACACGUGGGUAACCUACCUAUAAGACUGGGAUAACUUCGGGAAACCGGAGCUA